rnacentral:rRNA from 1 species
UAACGCGAAGAACCUUACCAAGGCUUGACAUACACGAGAACGGGCCAGAAAUGGUCAACUCUUUGGACACUCGUGAACAGGUGGUGCAUGGUUGUCGUCAGCUCGUGUCGUGAGAUGUUGGGUUAAGUCCCACAACGAGCGCAACCCUCGUUCUAUGUUGCCAGCGCGUAAUGGCGGGAACUCAUAGGAGACUGCCGGGGUCAACUCGGAGGAAGGUGGGGAUGACGUCAAAUCAUCAUGCCCCUUAUGUCUUGGGCUUCACGCAUGCUACAAUGGCCGGUACAAAGGGCUGCAAUACCGUAAGGUGGAGCGAAUCCCAAAAAGCCGGUCUCAGUUCGGAUUGAGGCCUGCAACUCGACCUCAUGAAGUCGGAGUCGCUAGUAAUCGCAGAUCAGCA